rnacentral:lncRNA from 10 species
UGGUUUUUCCCAAAUCUUAUUGUUAAAGGAAAGAGAACACUUGGGUGGCUGGAAAGGAAUGUGAGGCUGGAGGAAUCUGGGAGUUGACUUAGUUAGGGUUGAUUGCUUACUUUGUUUUUAAGUUUGAGAGGAAUGUGAUCAUAUUUGUAACCUGAAGUAAGUGAUCAAAUAAAGAAGGAGAGUGAGGAAAGUGAUUCAGAGACUUCAAGAGGAUCUGGAGCCUAGCAGAAUGGAUCAGCCUUGGAUGGGAGGAGGAGCAGGAGGAUUUCCACUUCUGGAGGAGAGGAGAGUCAGUGUGGCUGCUUGACCUUCAGCUCUCCUUUCUCCACUCCCACUUUCACAGACUCCUUCCAGAGGCCUUGGGAGGGACCAUGGCAAUGAUUAGGAUGGUCAUAUGUUUUUAUACUACUUGCAAAACCAAGAUUGUUUUAGUAUUCAUUUUCUUUAAAAUAUCUCCUUCUCCAGUUGUAUAUGCUCAGCACUACAAAACCUGAAUCUGCCCCUAGUAGCUAUAAAUAGGUUUCAUGGGGAAGGGAUAGUGGAGACAAGAUUUGAUUGCCUUCAUUUACAUAAAAACAGAAAGCAAAGUCUACAUUGAGAGUGAAGUAAGAAAGAAUAUGGUGGUCGGGGAGGAGGUCAGGAAAGUGACAAAGGUUUGGAGAAGCUGGGAAUGGAAGAGGGAGUUGACAAAGGACACAUUAUAGGAUCCUCUAACAGCACAGAGGAUGCUGCUAUAACUCCCUACCAGAAAUGUGGUGUAUAUCAUGAAGAGUGGCCUUCUUGCCUCUAUUUUUCUUUUUUCUUUUUUGAGACAGAGUCUCUCUCUGUCACCAGGCUGGAAUGCAGUGGUGUGACCUCGGCUCACUCCAACCUCCACCUCCAGGGUUCAAGCAAUUCUUAUGUCUCAGCCUCCCAAGUAGCUGGGAUUACAAGCGCGUGCCACCAUGCCUGGCUAAUGUCUUUCUUUCUUCCUUUUUUUAUUUUUAUUUUUUUAUUAUUAUUUUUUUAAUAGUAGAGAUGGGGUUUCACCAUGCUGGCUAGGCUGGUCACGAACUCCUGGCCUCAUGAUCUGCCCACCUCGGCCUCCCAAAGUGCUGGGAUUACAGGCAUGAGCCACCGUGCCCUGCCUUCUUUCUUUUUCUUUUCUUUUCUUUUCUUUCUUUUUUUUUGACAGUCUUGCUCUGUCGCCCAGACUGGAGUGCAGUGGUGCUAUGUCAGCUCACUGCAAGCUCCUCUUCCCCAGUUCACGCCUACUGCCUCAGCCUCCCGAGUAGCUGGGACUACAGGCGCCUGCCACCACGCCUGGCUAAUUAUUUGUAUUUUUAGUAGAGACAAGGUUUCACCGUGUUAGCCAGGAUGGUCUCAAUCUCCUGACCUCGUGAUCCGCCUGCCUCGGCCUCCCAAAGUGCUGAGACUACAGGUGUGAGCCACCGCACCCGGCUUUUUUUUUUUUUUUUUUGUAUUUUUAGUAGGGGCAGGGUUACGCCAUGUUGGCUAGGCUGGUCUCAAACUCCUAGCCUCAAGUGAUCCAGACUUGAGGGACAAGUGUUCCAGACUCCCAAAGUGCUGGGAUUACAGGCAUGAGCCACUGCGCCUGGCCCAUCUAUUUUUCCCUCCUUCAAUGGGAAUAACACUUGUUCCUAGCUGCACCAUGAAAAUAUCACAUCAGAUGCCUAAGAAGAAUUCACUAUAAUUAGAAAAUAAGUAUACUUUGGGGCCAGGCAUGGUGGCUCACGCCAGUAAUCCCAGCACUUUGGGAGGCCGAGGUGGGCAGAUCACCUGAGGUCCGGAGUUCAAGACCAGCCUGAUCAACAUGGAGAAACCCCGUCUCUACUAAAAAUACAAAAUUAGCCAGGAGUGGUAGCACAUGCCUGUAGUCCCAGCUUCUCGGGAGGCUGAGACAGGAGAAUCGCUUGAACCCGGCAGGCAGAGGUUGCGGUGAGCCGAAAUCACUCCAUUGCACUCCAGCCUGGGCAACAAGAGCAAAACCUCGUCUCAAAAAAAAAAAGAAAAAGGAAAAGAAAGAAAAGAAAAGAAGUAACUUUGUUUUCAAUAAUAUUUUUCUUUUUUCAACAUCAGCUAUAUAAACCCCCUGUAAAGUCUAUUAAAACAUGAAAAAUAAAUUAAACGCUAUACAUUAAAUUUCUUACGUUUGUCCCAAACAGGAUGAAAGGAUAUCUGCAAUAGAGGGUAACCUGGAAAAGGGAAGCGGAGCCAGAGAAAACAGAGGAGGGAGUCCAUUCAGGGGAGAGGAUGAUGGCGGUGUUAGAAUAUUGGUUACAUCCAGCCUGGCAUGGUGGCUCAUGCCUGUAAUCCUAGCACUUUGGGAGUCCGAAGUGGGUGGAUCACAAGGUCAAGAGGUCAAGAUCUGCCUGGCCAAGAUGGUGAAACCCCGUCUCUACUAAAAACUACAGAAAUUAGCUGGGUGUGGUAGUAGGUGCCUGUAAUCUCAGCUACUCAGGAGGCUGAGGCAGUAGAAUCACUGGAACCCGGGAGGCAGAGGUUGCAGUAAGCCGAGAUUGCACCACUGCACUCCAGCCUGGGUGACAGAGUGAGACUCCAUCUCAAAAAAAAAAAAAAAACCAAAAAAAAAAAAGAAUAUUGGUUACAUCGAGAAGGAUUAAUCUACUAAGUAAAUAUAUUAAAGAUAAUGGAAUCAGAGUUUCUAACUAUCAGAGAAGGAAGUUACAAAUACAACAAAGAUACCUUGGUGCCAAUGGCAAUGAAAAUGGUGGAGUAAGAAACUCUAAGGGUAGGGAACUCUCUUCCUUUGCAGAAACACUGAAAAAACUGGCAAAAGUCAUGAGAAACAACUUUAUUAGAACUCUAGAAGAUAGUCAAAGGUUUACAGCAACCAAGCUAAUGCUUAAUAAGGAUAAUGGGCACUGAAUCAUGGUAGGAGAGGUUUGUCGUGUUUUACCUUACCCUUGUCCAAUCCCCCUGCCCAGUGCAGCAGCAGUCUAGAAGACAGCAGCCCAUGCUCUCAGUGCAGGUUCUCAGUUUGGGAGGUGUGUUAGGCCAUUCUUGCGCUGCUGUGAAGAAAUACCUGAGACUGGGUAAUUUACAAGAAAAGAGGUUUAAUUGGCUCAUAGUUCUGCAGGCUGUACAGAAAGCAUGGCACCAGGAUCUGCUUCUGGGGAGGCCUCAGGAAAUGUUUACUCAUCACCGAAGGCGAAGCAGGAGCAUGCACGUCACGUGGUGAGAACAGGAGAAAGAGAGAGAGUGAGGGCAGGUGCCACACACUUUCAAACAACCAGAUCACAUGCGAACCCAGAGCAAGAGCAUCACCAAGGGGAUGGUCCAAGCCAUUCAUGAGGAAUCUGCCCCCAAGAUCCAAACACCUCCCACCCAGCCCCAACUCCAACAUUGGGGAUUACAUUUCAGCAUGAGAUUUGGGUGGGAACAAAUAUCCAAACUAUAUCAGAAGGGAAUGGAGGGAAUCUUGUUCCUGAGAAAUUGUGUUCAUAGGUUUUAAUCUGUUUGGGGGAUCCCCAAGGGGACUAAUGCAGGGUACUUGCCUUUGUUCCACUUACCUCAAAACUCUCUCAGGAUAGAAAAGUUGCUUUGUGGAAGAGGUUUCUCAAAAACAUUGGACAGCCAAUGAAUAAAGCCCAGAUGCCUAGAGCAAAAGAUAACAGCUGUGGCAAAAAAAAUACACUUGUAGAAAGCCUGAGAAGAAAAACUUGGGGAUUGAUAUACUUGCGGAAUAAAGGCUCUGAAAAGCCCCUGGUUAUGUAGGGGAAUCAAAAAGGCCCAGGCCAGGAUACAUCCUCAGAAAAGGUCUGAGAACACCAUAGGCUUCACCUCUGGUUGAUUUUUAGGCUUAGCACAAGUAAGAAGUGAAGGCUAAGGCAGAGUUAUAAAUGGUGUGGCUAGUCAGCCGGGUGCAGUGGCUCACACCUGUAAUCCCAGCACUUUGAGAGGCCAAGGCAGGCAGAUCAUGAGGUCAGGAGAUCCAGACCAUCCUGUCCACUAUGGUGAAACCCUGUCUCUACUAAAAAAUACGAAAAUUAGCCAGGUGUGGUGGCAUGCACCUCUAGUCCCAGCUACUCA